UUUCCGUAGGUGAACCUGCGGAAGGAUCAUUACUGAGAACUUGCCCUUUGGGGUAGAUCUCCCACCCUCUGUUUACCAUACCUUUGUUGCUUUGGCAGGCCCGUCUCACGACCACCGGCUUUGGCUGGUGUGUGCCUGCCAGAGGAUUCUAAAUUCUUGAUUUUGUGUUGUCUGAGUGAAAUAUAAUCGUUAAAACUUUCAACAACGGAUCUCUUGGUUCUGGCAUCGAUGAAGAACGCAGC
rnacentral:misc_RNA from 1 species